GGAGAGAUGGCUGAGUGGCUGAAAGCACUUGCCUGCUAAGCAAGUAUCUGGAGAGAUCCGGAUCGUGGGUUCGAAUCCCACUCUCUCCA
rfam:Candidate division TM6 bacterium GW2011_GWF2_37_49 TS49_C0014, whole genome shotgun sequence.